UACGUAGGGAGCAAGCGUUGUCCGGAAUCAUCGGGCGUAAAGCGCGCGUAGGUGGCCUCAUAAGUCCGCUGUGAAAGUCAAAGGCUCAACCUUUGAAAGCCGGUGGAUACUGUGAGGCUAGAGUACGGAAGAGGCGAGUGGAAUUCCUGGUGUAGCGGUGGAAUGCGCAGAUAUCAGGAGGAACACCAAUAGCGAAGGCAGCUCGCUGGGACGUUACUGACACUGAGGCGCGAAAGCGUGGGGAGCGAACAGG
rnacentral:rRNA from 1 species